UACGUAGGGUGCAGGCGUUAAUCGGAAUUACUGGGCGUAAAGCGUGCGCAGGCGGUUUGCUAAGACAGGUGUGAAAUCCCCGGGCUUAACCUGGGAACUGCGCUUGUAACUGGCAAGCUAGAGUGUGGCAGAGGGGGGUGGAAUUCCACGUGUAGCAGUGAAAUGCGUAGAGAUCCGGAGGAACACCAGUGGCAAAGGCGACACGCUGGGCCGUACCUGACACUGAUGCGCGACAGCAUGGGGAGCAAACAGG
rnacentral:rRNA from 1 species